AGUGAACGCUGGCGGUAGGCCUAACACAUGCGAGUCGAACGGCAGCACAGUAAGAGCUUGCUCUUACGGGUGGCGAGUGGCGGACGGGUGAGGAAUACAUCGGAAUCUACUUUUUCGUGGGGGAUAACGUAGGGAAACUUACGCUAAUACCGCAUACGACCUACGGGUGAAAGCAGGGGAUCUUCGGACCUUGCGCGAUUGAAUGAGCCGAUGUCGGAUUAGCUAGUUGGCGGGGUAAAGGCCCACCAAGGCGACGAUCCGUAGCUGGUCAGAGAGGAUGAUCAGCCACACUGGAACUGAGACACGGUCCAGACUCCUACGGGAGGCAGCAGUGGGGAAUAUUGGACAAUGGGCGCAAGCCUGAUCCAGCCAUACCGCGUGGGUGAAGAAGGCCUUCGGGUUGUAAAGCCCUUUUGUUGGGAAAGAAAAGCAGCAGGUUAAUACCCCGCUGUUCUGACGGUACCCAAAGAAUAAGCACCGGCUAACUUCGUG
rnacentral:rRNA from 1 species